rnacentral:rRNA from 1 species
GACGAACGCUGGCGGCGUGCUUAACACAUGCAAGUCGAACGGAAAGGCCCUGCUUUUGUGGGGUGCUCGAGUGGCGAACGGGUGAGUAACACGUGAGUAACCUGCCCUUGACUUUGGGAUAACUUCAGGAAACUGGGGCUAAUACCGGAUAGGAGCUCCUGCUGCAUGGUGGGGGUUGGAAAGUUUCGGCGGUUGGGGAUGGACUCGCGGCUUAUCAGCUUGUUGGUGGGGUAGUGGCUUACCAAGGCUUUGACGGGUAGCCGGCCUGGGAGGGUGACCGGCCACAUUGGGACUGAGAGACGGCCCAGACUCCUACGGGAGGCAGCAGUGGAGAAUAUUGCACAAUGGGCGGAAGCCUGAUGCAGCAACGCCGCGUGCGGGAUGACGGCCUUCGGGUUGUAAACCGCUUUCGCCUGUGACGAAGCGGGAGUGACGGUAAUGGGUAAAGAAGCACCGGCUAACUACGUG